UGGACGUUUUAGUAGCAGAAUAAUGGUUGGCAACCCGUACCAAGUGUGAUUUUAGUAGAGAACUUUCGAGGCAACCCGUACCAAGUGGGAUAUUUUUGCGUGUGGAUUGGCUACUUAUAGAUUUAUACAAUGCGGUUACUUGUAUAUUUAUACAAUGGCCUGGAGUAAAAUAAUUACGUGAAGUAUUACAUAUGUGUGGGUGAAGUCUUGCCCGCAAACUUUCAAAUCAACACGUUAAUCAUUAUUUUAUAUUUGUACCAUAGUGUAUAAACCUACAAUUAACAAAAGAAUCAGAUGUUUUAGAAAAAUUUUACAUAGCUGAGAUCAUCUGAUCGAAAUCUGCCUUUUUUGGACACAGAGAGUUAAAUAAAAGAAAUGUAGUAUAAUUUCUUUUGUGUGAAAAAGUUUUUGUAAUGCAAAACUUUCAAGGAUAUUUUCGAAACAAAAGUUAAUUGCAUGUUUAUUGUUUUUCCUCCCUACCUCAGAGGUUGCAAUGUAGGUGCCAAGGUUACCAAUUUUUUGAGGUGUUCUAAAUUAAUAUACAUGUAACAAAUAUAACUAGACAUAAAUAAAUAUAUUAAAUCAUGUACACUUUAGGAAUAUUAAUUACAUUAACAAUAUAAGUAAAAACAAUCAACUUGAAAUUAUUUAAACCAAAACUAAAAUACAAUAAAUAUAAAAAAUCAGCUACAAUUCAGGAACAACAAUAAUAUUAAUCAAAAUAAUCUACUAAGUAAUAAAAGUUAUUUACAAAAUAUUCUACUUCACCCACGGCAGGAAUAGUGGUGGAGAAAAGGGUCCUAUACCUGGUACACGAAAACACUUUAAAAACAAAAGCAAAAAGUUAGUAAUAACCGUACAGACCUAAUCGCAAAACUUCUCAUCUCAAAAUCAUAGAUCAAGGGAACUAUGCAAAUGCGGCUUUCGAGAGAUAAACAUUUUGACAAAUAUGAAGUAAUUCAGACUGACAGACAUACAUAUAUAUAAAUUCCUACUCAUUAAGGUAGACAAACCGACGUGAUUACUAUUUACACACUAUAGAAUGUUUGGGGGCAGCCCGUACCGUGUGUUCUUUUCCGUAUGUGUAAGUAAAAAAUUUAUUAUUGGUUACUUGUUAAGAACGAUAAUAUACAAGAUUACGACAAGAAUUUACCGUUACUUUUUUCGCUUUAGGCUGUGACAAUUGUUACAAAAACAAAUUGCACUAUGUCGCCAACUUGAGAGGUAAUUCUUUUGAGUUGAGAAAAAGAUGCAUAGAACAAGAUGUAAAUUGUAAAUAAACACGUAAACACUUUUGUUAAUUCGUGAAAUAAGCAUAAUUUAUUAGUUUGAGGUGAAAGUUUUUUAGUGAAAUGAAUGAAAAAGCUUUCUGGAUAUAAAACUACAUACCAGCGCAAGAAUCAAGGUUGAAGAUUCUGAGAUCAGACUCGUUUUCUGACCUUAGGUUUGUAGGAUUUCAAAUAAAAUUCUCAGCACUCAAUAAAAGUAAAACCUUCAGAAAUUCUAAGAACACUAACUGGGAUUUAUACAGGAAGAUAUUAACAGGGAAUUUAACAUGUGACUCACCCUCUGAACUAGAGAAGAAGACCGUCACACUUAAGAAUAUUCUCCUUUAAAGAAUGCCCUCCAAGCAAAGCAUGGUUCAAAGCCGACUUGAUGGACCCGGGAGCUGGGAUCAUGUAAGCGUUGUGUUCAGGAGCUCUUCAAACAGACCAGGAUAGCCGAUGAGGAGCUUUGCUGGAGGAAAUAUACAGGUACCAAAGGAAUAUAAAAAAGAGAUUCGCAAAGCCUAAAGGGAAUCGUGGAAGACCUUCUGCGGCAAGUUAGAAAAGACAACAGAAGUAGCUAGGCUUAAUAAACUACUUUCCAAGCACCUGACUACCCCUAAGCUAAUACCCAAAAAAUGCGGAGAGUAGACUGGUUGCAGUAAGGAAUCACUGGGGGACCCAGUCAACACGCAUUUUUUAGGAUGUAUGGAGGCUAAAUUUUUAGGAUUGCACUAAAUACUCUAACUAAACCUGCUCUAAAUGACGGAUUUGCACCACGAUUUAAAUUAUUAUUUAUUUUCAGUCUUUCCUUGGCACGAUCAAAAUACCAUCCAAUUCCUUCGACAGACAAUUAAAAAACUAAUCUUAUGUUUAACUUAUCCUUAUAUAGAAAAAUAGUAUGUAAGCGAACCGACGAAAGUAAUAAAGUUGUUAUUGCAUACGGCAUAAUGGUCUGACUAAACAACAGUAGAAUGGUAUGAUAGCCAAAACUAAAACGCAUCAUCUGAUAAAGGUUAUUCGUGUUGUUCUUUUGUACUAUGCAAUGGUCUGACCUAAACAACGGUAGAUUGGGACUGCUUGCCAUACCGAACGUCACUGUCUUAAGUUGAUAGGUAUACAAGAUCAUUAGAGCACUCCCUCCGAAGGAUAUGUUGCCAUUUUCGUUGCCAGGAAUCAAACAUUACUUGUUGAAACAUCUUUUUGAUAUCAGCUGGGAGAGCAACUGAGUACCGCCGAAAUCAAUGAAGUAUGUCAGCCAGGUUUUCCUGUAGCUGUGGUCCACUUAGUUGCAUCUCGUCAAGAGAUACACCGUUGGUUAUUUUAAACGAUGCGUUAAGCUCUACUCUGAAUAUAGUCGUAACAGCAUGGUGAGGGAUAUAAUAUCAGCUUCCCACGCCAACUGGCGAACUAUCUAUCGCCUCCAUAUGUCUCAAUUUGAUGUAUUCCCUUAUGAAUUCUACGCAUUUCUCUCUCAGUGCGUAGUCGUUUGCCAAUAUCCGCUCUAGUUUCAAAAAUGGCCGAAGUGGCGCCGGAUGUGAAUUUCCAAGUGCAGAUGCAUUAGAUCGAAACGGGAUCUGUACAAUAUACUGACCAUUCGGGAGUCGCACAAAAAUGCAGCUUCCUCAUAUACAAGUGCCUGCAUAUUCUGCACUACAUAUGUUACAUACAUACAUUCAACGGCUCAAAUUUCGAUGGUCGGUUUAUUGAAGAAAGGCAAGUGGUGGUAGGAUGGAAAGUAGUGCGCGCAAAAGUUCGCAACAUGCGCACUAGUUAUAAUAAAGCAAAGGCGUGGGAUGGGUCGACAGAUGCAGGAAGUAUGGAAGGCGACAAAAAUUGGGUGAUAUUUUCGGCAGCAGAUUGAAUAGUUC